rnacentral:lncRNA from 1 species
GCCUAUAAGUUCACAUGUCUCCAAUCAAUAUUAUAAACAUUUUUCCGCAAUUUGUAUUGUAAUGAGUUUGCAUCUUCUAGAGGACGGCCACCAAAAACAACACUUAAUCUGGUGAAAAUAUAUAGGUAAUCCAAGAUUCCAAUGCUUUAGAACAUUUAGACACUCAGAAUCUGGCAACCGAAGAAAGUUGAGGUUUCAUCAUAAAAUCAAUUGGUGAUAUGGAAAGUAACUCAACUUCUUAUAAGCUCAUGCAAGGUCGCUCAUCCCAUCAAUGUAAGACUCAUUCUCAACACGCUCUCACACGUGUGAUGAACUUUCAAGCCUAACACGUGGAUAAUACAACAUAGUGACAUGGAGUGCAUGUGGCCAUUUGGCUUCACACGUGGGACAAUCUAGCUCUGAUACCAUAAAGAAAGUUGGCGUUCCACCAUAAAACUAAUUGAUGAUAUGGAGAG